rnacentral:ncRNA from 1 species
GGACCUGAUAUCAGGCAAGAUUACCCGCUGAACUUAAGCAUAUCAAUAAGCGGAGGAAAAGAAACUAACAAGGAUUCCCCUAGUAACGGCGAGUGAAGCGGGAAGAGCUCAAGCUUAAAAUCUCCGUGCAAGUUUUGCGCGGCGAAUUGUAGUCUAUAGAGGCGUGGUCAGCGUGGGCGCUUGGGGCAAGUUCCUUGGAAGAGGACAGCAUGGAGGGUGAUACUCCCGUUCAUCCCUGAGUGGCUCGUGCGUACGACCCGUGUUCUUUGAGUCGCGUUGUUUGGGAAUGCAGCGCAAAGUAGGUGGUAAAUUCCAUCUAAAGCUAAAUAUUGGUGCGAGACCGAUAGCGAACAAGUACCGUGAGGGAAAGAUGAAAAGAACUUUGAAAAGAGAGUUAAAGAGUACCUGAAACUGCUGAAAGGGAACCGAAUCGUUUCCAGUGUCUAUAAUCCGUGGCAUAUUUCAUUGGCGAGUGUGCGCGUGCGUGUGCUGUGGCAGUGGCUUUUUUGGCUGCGCUCGGUGUGUGUGCUGUGUGUGCUUGCUGGUGCCCUGUGCUGCGGUGGGACGUCAAGGUCAGUUCGUAUGCUGCGGGAAAUGGCUGCCGAGGAGGUAGGGCUUACGCUCCGCGUUUGUCUGUUAUAUCUUGGUGGACGAGUCGUCGCGGUUGGGACUGAGGUGCCUACAACGUGCUUUUGAGUGGGUUUGUGUCUCCGUGUGCGCCGUGUGCGGAUAGCUUGCUAUGCGUGUGUGGUUGUGUGUGGAUUGAUGCGGGCUUUAACUUGUCGCCGUUCGGGACGUUGACGAAAUGGAGCGAUCCGACCCGUCUUGAAACACGGACCAAGGAGUCUAACAUGUGUGCAAGUGUUAGGGUGUGGAAACCCCAGCGCGAAAUGAAAGUGAAGGGCAGCGCAAGUUGUCU